rnacentral:sRNA from 1 species
UUAUUGCGUUAGGGAUGGCAGUGAAAAGCCCACAGCUUAAGCGAGGACUUGUUACGUACAGCCCGACCGUAG